CCUACGGGAGGCAGCAGUGGGGGAUAUUGCACAAUGGGGGAAACCCUGAUGCAGCGACGCCGCGUGGGCGAAGAAGUAUUUCGGUAUGUAAAGCUCUAUCAGCAGGGAAGAAGAAAUGACGGUACCUGAGUAAGAAGCACCGGCUAAAUACGUGCCAGCAGCCGCGGUCAUACGUAUGGCGCAAGCGUUAUCCGGAUUUACUGGGUGUAAAGGGAGCGCAGGCGGCACGGCAAGCCUGAUGUGAAAGCCCGCGGCCCAACCGCGGGACUGCAUUGGGAACUACCGGACUGGAGUGCCGGAGAGGUAGGCGGAAUUCCUAGUGUAGCGGUGAAAUGCGUAGAUAUUAUGAGGAACACCAGUGGCGAAGGCAGCCUACUGGACGGUGACUGACGCUGAGGCUCGAAAGCGUGGGGAGCAAACAGGAUUAGAUACCCCAGUAGUC
rnacentral:rRNA from 1 species